rnacentral:rRNA from 1 species
UUUAUCGGAGAGUUUGAUCCUGGCUCAGGACGAACGCUGGCGGCGUGCCUAAUACAUGCAAGUCGAGCGGAUUGAUGGGAGCUUGCUCCCAUCAAUCAGCGGCGGACGGGUGAGUAACACGUGGGUAACCUGCCUGUAAGACUGGGAUAACUCCGGGAAACCGGGGCUAAUACCGGAUAACUCAUU